CCUUUGGAGCGUUACAUCAAACGAGAGUAGCACUACUGGACUUGGUUCAGGAGCGAAAUUGGACGCGAUGAAUGAGGAA
rnacentral:ncRNA from 1 species